rnacentral:rRNA from 1 species
AUUGAACGCUGGCGGCAGGCCUAACACAUGCGAGUCGAGCGGAUGAAGGGAGCUUGCUCCUGGAUUCAGCGGCGGACGGGUGAGUAAUGCCUAGGAAUCUGCCUGGUAGUGGGGGAUAACGUCCGGAAACGGGCGCUAAUACCGCACACGUCCUGAGGGAGAAAGUGGGGGAUCUUCGGACCUCACGCUAUCAGAUGAGCCUAGGUCGGAUUAGCUAGUUGGUGGGGUAAAGGCCUACCAAGGCGACGAUCCGUAACUGGUCUGAGAGGAUGAACAGUCAAACCUGAAACUGGGCACCGGUCAGACUCACUAGGGAGGCAGGAGGUGGGAAAUUUGGGAAAAUGGCCAAAGCCCUAGUCAACCAAGGCCGCGUGGGGAAGGAGGUUCUUCGGAUUUAAAGGAACUUAAGGUUGGAAGAAAGGGAAGUAAUUUAAUCCCUUCCUGUUUGGCGGUACCAACAGAAUAAGCACCGGCUAACUUCGU